AGUGAACGCUGGCGGUAGGCCUAACACAUGCAAGUCGAACGGCAGCACAGUAAGAGCUUGCUCUUACGGGUGGCGAGUGGCGGACGGGUGAGGAAUACAUCGGAAUCUACUUUUUCGUGGGGGAUAACGUAGGGGAACUUACGCUAAUACCGCAUACGACCUACGGGUGAAAGCAGGGGAUCUUCGGACCUUGCGCGAUUGAAUGAGCCGAUGUCGGAUUAGCUAGUUGGCGGGGUAAAGGCCCACCAAGGCGACGAUCCGUAGCUGGUCUGAGAGGAUGAUCAGCCACACUGGAACUGAGACACGGUCCAGACUCCUACGGGAGGCAGCAGUGGGGAAUAUUGGACAAUGGGCGCAAGCCUGAUCCAGCCAUACCGCGUGGGUGAAGAAGGCCUUCGGGUUGUAAAGCCCUUUUGUUGGGAAAGAAAAGCAGCAGGCUAAUACCCCGCUGUUCUGACGGUACCCAAAGAAUAAGCACCGGCUAACUUCGUG
rnacentral:rRNA from 1 species